rnacentral:rRNA from 1 species
UACGAAGGGUGCGAGCGUUGUUCGGAAUUACUGGGCGUAAAGGGUUCGUAGGCUGGAAUUUAAGUCAAGUGUGAAAUCCCCGAGCUUAACUUGGGACGUGCAUUUGAAACUGGAUUUCUUGAGUAUCGGAGAGGGUGGUGGAAUUGUUGGUGUAGGAGUGACAUCCGUAGAGAUCAGCAGGAACAUCAGAUGCGAAGGCGACCGCCUGGCCGAUAACUGACGCUGAGGAACGAAAGCGUGGGGAGCAAACAGG